rnacentral:rRNA from 1 species
CCCGCUGAACUUAAGCAUAUCAAUAAGCGGAGGAAAAGAAACUAACAAGGAUUCCCCUAGUAACUGCGAGUGAAGCGGGAAAAGCUCAAAUUUAAAAUCUGGUGGUCUUUUGCCCAUCCGAGUUGUAAUUUAGAGAAGCGUCUUCCGCGCUGGACCGUACACAAGUCUCCUGGAACGGAGCGUCAUAGAGGGUGAGAAUCCCGUCUUUGGUACGGACCCCCAGGGCUUCUGUGAUGCGCUCUCGAAGAGUCGAGUUGUUUGGGAAUGCAGCUCAAAAUGGGUGGUGAACUCCAUCUAAAGCUGAAUAUUGGCGAGAGACCGAUAGCGAACAAGUACCGUGAGGGAAAGAUGAAAAGCACUUUGGAAAGAGAGUGAAACAGUACGUGAAAUUGUUGAAAGGGAAACGCUUAAAGUCAGUCGCGUCGACCGAGACUCAGCCUCGCUCCGGCUUGGUGUAUUUCUCGGCCCGACGGGUCAGCGUCAAUUUUGCCCCUCGGAUAAUGGCAAGGGAAAGGUGGCACCUUUGCGGGUGUGUUAUAGUCUUUUGUCGCAUGCGAGGGGUGGGAUUGAGGAACUCAGCACGCGCGCCCUUCUGGGUGUGUCGGGGCCUCGGCCCACGCCACGUGCUUAGGAUGCUGGCGUAAUGGCUUUAAACGACCCGUCUUGAAACAC